UAAUUGUCGAUAAUUUAAGUGCCUAUCCUAUCUUUUUCUCGCGUCGCACUCACGGCGAGAAACGGUACUAUCCUUGUUGCACUCGUGAUGAUAAAGCUAAUUGCAGUUUUAUGUUUUUCGCUUAAACAAAUGAGAACUUCGAAAAAAA